UACGAAGGGGGCUAGCGUUGCUCGGAAUCACUGGGCGUAAAGCGCACGUAGGCGGAUUGCUAAGUCAGGGGUGAAAUCCUGGAGCUCAACUCCAGAACUGCCUUUGAUACUGGCGAUCUCGAGUCCGGGAGAGGUGAGUGGAACUGCGAGUGUAGAGGUGAAAUUCGUAGAUAUUCGCAAGAACACCAGUGGCGAAGGCGGCUCACUGGCCCGGUACUGACGCUGAGGUGCGGAAGCGUGGGGAGCAAACAGG
rnacentral:rRNA from 1 species